AUACGGGGGGUGCAAGCGUUACUCGGAAUCACUGGGCGUAAAGCGCGCGCAGGCGGCUAUUUAAGUUGGAUGUGAAAGCCUACGGCUCAACCGUAGAACUGCAUCCAAAACUAUUUAGCUAGAGUGUGGGAGAGGAAGAUGGAAUUAGUUGUGUAGGGGUAAAAUCCGUAGAGAUAACUAGGAAUACCAAAAGCGAAGGCAAUCUUCUGGAACACUACUGACGCUGAGGCGCGAAAGCGUGGGGAGCAAACGGGAUUAGAAACCCUAGUAGUCC
rnacentral:rRNA from 1 species